GACGAACGCUGGCGGCGUGCCUAACACAUGCAAGUCGAACGGAGUGUUUAUUUAUAAACACUUAGUGGCGAACGGGUGAGUAACGCGUAGACAACCUACCCUCUAGAUGGGGACAACACCGCGAAAGUGGUGCUAAUACCGAAUGUUGUAAUGUUGUUGCAUAAUGAUAUUACUAAGGGUGGCCUCUAUAUAAAAGCUACCGCUAGAAGAUGGGUCUGCGUCUGAUUAGCUAGUUGGUGAGAUAACAGCUCACCAAGGCAAUGAUCAGGAGCCGGUCUGAGAGGAUGAACGGCCACACUGGGACUGAGACACGGCCCAGACUCCUACGGGAGGCAGCAGUAGGGAAUUUUCGGCAAUGGGGGCAACCCUGACCGAGCAACGCCGCGUGAGUGAUGAAGGUCGCAAGAUUGUAAAACUCUGUUGUAAAGGAAGAACACUAAGGAUAGAAUCCUUAGUUGACGGUACUUUACCAGAAAGCCACGGCUAACUACGUGCCAGCAGCCGCGGUAA
rnacentral:rRNA from 1 species